AAUCGUAAGGUCUCUAAUAACCCCUCCGUGCGAUCGUUAAAACGAUCGCACGGAGGGGUUAUUAGAGACCUUACGAUU